GGAAGAGUGGUCGAGUGGUUUAAGGCGUCGGUCUUGAAAACCGAAGAGGGUGCAAGUCCUCCGUGAGUUCGAAUCUCACCUCUUCCG
rnacentral:tRNA from 1 species